rnacentral:rRNA from 1 species
ACGAACGCUGGCGGCGUGCUUAACACAUGCACGUCGAACGGAAAGGCCCUGCUUUUGCGGGGUGCUCGAGUGGCGAACGGGUGAGUAACACGUGAGUAACCUGCCCUUGACUUUGGGAUAACUUCAGGAAACUGGGGCUAAUACCGGAUAGGAGCUCCUGCUGCAUGGUGGGGGUUGGAAAGUUUCGGCGGUUGGGGAUGGACUCGCGGCUUAUCAGCUUGUUGGUGGGGUAGUGGCUUACCAAGGCUUUGACGGGUAGCCGGCCUGAGAGGGUGACCGGCCACAUUGGGACUGAGAUACGGCCCAGACUCCUACGGGAGGCAGCAGUGGGGAAUAUUGCACAAUGGGCGGAAGCCUGAUGCAGCAACGCCGCGUGCGGGAUGACGGCCUUCGGGUUGUAAACCGCUUUCGCCUGUGACGAAGCGUGAGUGACGGUAAUGGGUAAAGAAGCACCGGCUAACUACGUG